GUCUACAGCCAUGCCACCCUGAACGAGCCUGAUCCCAUCUGAUCUCGGAAGCUAAGCAGAGUCGGGCCUGGUUAGUACUUGGAUGGGAGACCACCCAGGAAUACCAGGUGCUGUAGGGC
rnacentral:rRNA from 1 species